UGGGGAAUAUUGGACAAUGGGGGCAACCCUGAUCCAGCCAUGCCGCGUGUGUGAAGAAGGCCUUAGGGUUGUAAAACACUUUCAGCGGGGAAGAUGAUGACGGUACCCGCAGAAGAAGCCCCGGCUAACUCCGUGCCAGCAGCCGCGGUAAUACGGAGGGGGCUAGCGUUGUUCGGAAUUACUGGGCGUAAAGGGCGUGUAGGCGGCCUGCCAAGUCAGAUGUGAAAGCCCCGGGCUUAACCUGGGAACUGCAUUUGAGACUGGCCGGCUAGAGGUUGGAAGAGGAGAGUGGAAUUCCCAGUGUAGAGGUGAAAUUCGUAGAUAUUGGGAAGAACACCAGUGGCGAAGGCGGCUCUCUGGAACGAUACUGACACUGAGACGCGAAAGCGUGGGUAGCGAACAGGAUUAGAUACCCCAGUAGUCCCUGAGCGGGCUGGCAAGGCGCAU
rnacentral:rRNA from 1 species